CGGCAACGAAACGUCCUAGGAAGAGUUAAUUCUCGAGCAACGAUUCUUUAGGAGUGGAGUACGUCUUGUACUAUGUGCAGCCAAGAGAGGUGUGAGGUUCACUGGAUGGCAACUCGUCUAUUGACUAUCCUGUUUGAUCGUCUAUUGUUGGGCAUCCCGGCAGGUCGAGCAAAAAUGUCUUGCGUGUGGAACCAUAGUGGGAUCCAGGUGAAAAUACUAACGCCGUCACAAUUGGUUUGUUAUUAUACAAGUACACGACUCAAGACUUGCACCGCCUCCUAGUCGGAGAUAUCCGGUACUACCGCUUAGUGACUUAUUGUGAAGGUCGCAGCUACCACGAUCGUUGGACGAGUUCGGACUAAAAAAUUAUGAUCUUACCAGUUCUACGUGG